rnacentral:rRNA from 1 species
CACUUCCAAGUCUAUGUUUUCAUAUACCCUUUAUAAUUGAAGUCGAUGAAUGUAUUAGGCUUUGGCCAAUAAAACAAUACAACUUUCAACAAUGGAUCUCUUGGUUCUCGCAUCGAUGAAGAACGCAGCGAAUUGCGAUAUGUAAUGUGAAUUGCAGAAUUCAGUGAAUCAUCGAAUCUUUGAACGCACCUUGCGCCCUUUGGUAUUCCGAAGGGCAUGCCUGUUUGAGUGUCAUUAAAUUCUCAACUUCAACACUUUUUUGUAUUGAAGCUUGGAUGUUGGAGGGUCUUGCGGGCAUAUAUUAAUGUCAGCUCCUCUUAAAUGCAUUAGCAGAACCUGUGUUCGGCUCUGGUUUGAUAAUCCUAUCUAUGCCAUUGCUGAAAUGUCAUUGUUCAGCUUCUAAUGGUCCAUUGGACUGUCUCUUCAGAGGCAUAUAUUUUGACUUGACCUCAAAUCAGGU